rnacentral:rRNA from 1 species
GAUGAACGCUGGCGGCGUGCCUAAUACAUGCAAGUCGAGCGAACAGACGAGGAUCUUGCUCCUCUGACGUUAGCGGCGGACGGGUGAGUAACACGUGGAUAACCUACCUAUAAGACUGGGAUAACUUCGGGAAACCGGAGCUAAUACCGGAUAAUAUAUUGAACCGCAUGGUUCAAUAGUGAAAGACGGUUUUGCUGUUACUUAUAGAUGGAUCCGCGCCGCAUUAGCUAGUUGGUAAGGUAACGGCUUACCAAGGCAACGAUGCGUAGCCGACCUGAGAGGGUGAUCGGCCACACUGGAACUGAGACACGGUCCAGACUCCUACGGGAGGCAGCAGUAGGGAAUCUUCCGCAAUGGGCGAAAGCCUGACGGAGCAACGCCGCGUGAGUGAUGAAGGUCUUCGGAUCGUAAAACUCUGUUAUUAGGGAAGAACAAAUGUGUAAGUAACUAUGCACGUCUUGACGGUACCUAAUCAGAAAGCCACGGCUAACUACGUG